ACCCAAAUGGUACGCUCGCGUCACCGCUGACGUCAUCCCCGAGACCCCACCUGUCUGCAUCUCUACUCCUUCUCUAUCUAUGACAGUGGGACCCGCCCGUUAUCUCCUACCUCCCGUCCGAGUCGCUCUUCAGCACGACACCGCCGCCGCAUGAACCCCACACGGAUCGCGCUCGAUCUCCCUGAUCCCUCCGUCAUUCGGUCCAUCUCCAACUACAACGAGACCUACGCGACUUCCUCGCUCAAUUUCUACACCGAGCACUCGAUUUCUAGUUCGAGAUCGAGUACACUGACCUCGCAAAGCUCUCCUGAACGAGCUUCCUUCCAUGGCCAAACACAAGAAUCUGGGCCCCCGUCAACCGAUCUCGCCGGGACGCGCAUAGCACCGCCUGACUCCGCCCACGUUUCCCCAUCACUACCGGACGCACCGGAGCGCCCCUAGGACGCCCUCGGACGCACUUCUCGCCGCCACACCUCCCGGUCCCACUUCCCCAACUCAUAGACCGCCGGAGAUGAUGCUAUCAUCAACCAGAGCCUCGCCGCCGUCGUCGUUUUCCUGUCCGGAGAGAAAUCCAGCGACUCCCAAAUCCCAACGACGCGGCACAAUGUGAGCCAUUCAUCAUCACUUAAAAUCAACAAUCCUGCUUAAUCUCAGCUAAACUGGUACCAGCUUAUCACGUGUUGACAUGUGGUACUCCCAGAACAGCUGCGGCUGUAGUUCAGAAAUGAUGUCACGGCAGAAUUUUUCACAUAUUUCAAAUCGAACUUUGUUCCGUUAUA